rnacentral:rRNA from 1 species
UACGUAGGGUGCAAGCGUUGUCCGGAAUUAUUGGGCGUAAAGAGCUCGUAGGCGGUCUGUCACGUCGGCUGUGAAAUCCCGAGGCUCAACCUCGGGUCUGCAGUCGAUACGGGCAGGCUAGAGUUCGGCAGGGGAGACUGGAAUUCCUGGUGUAGCGGUGAAAUGCGCAGAUAUCAGGAGGAACACCGGUGGCGAAGGCGGGUCUCUGGGCCGUUACUGACGCUGAGGAGCGAAAGCGUGGGGAGCGAACAGG